rnacentral:miRNA from 1 species
GAGAGGCUAUAGGCAUCUAGCAUCUGAUGUAUUUUGCCCAGGUAAUCCUAACCAGAAUAAUAUGCAUGCAAUGUAUUCGGAGGCAAGAUAUACAAAAACAUACCGAUGGUUUUCUUGCAAGUUAUGUAGCUGUUGCCUCAGAAUUGCUGCUUCCCUCUGCCAGAACUAGAAUAUAGAACAAAUUAAGUUCAGGUGGUUUACUAGAGCAUAAUAUAGGAAACUGAGGAUGAUCCU